rnacentral:lncRNA from 12 species
CACCGCACUUCCCUGGGAGCCCCUGGAAGGCUGGGCCUCUCUGUCCAGGGAAGGAAAGAACUUACCUGGUAUGUGGGACAGGCCCCAAGAUCUCAGUGCCAGAAAACCUGGUCCGGGCUCAGAGCUGAGCAGCUGUUCCUGAUAUUAUAUUGUUCAAAAUGGGCCAACACAGCUGGGCUUCAGGGAAAGGUGAAGGCUCUCUGGCCCUUCAGAUGCCCAGCGUGCACCCCUCCCCACGGCCAGUCUUGUCCUCUGGAGUCAGACCCCUGACCUGGGAGGUGUGGAGCUAGUGGUUCCAAGCUCAGCCUCAAUGAGAUCACCUGGGUUUGCUUCCCUGCCUCUACUACCCGUGAAUCUUGGCAAGUCACUCCACCUUUACGUAAGACCAGUGCCUAGCGCCUGUGAGGGAUCCAGUGUGCUCCGUCUUCUCUCAUUUUGAAUCCACGUCUCUGAUUCUGGACUAGAAUUCUGAGCUGGAGUCCGGCCUAGGCCUCCCUUGACUUCACCCUAGCACUUUGGGGUACUCAAAUCUUGCUCCUGACCUCUAUUUCUCUGGCUGAAUCCCUCUCAGGAAGGGUGCAUAAACUCUUUUUUUUUUUCUUGUUUUGAAAAUUUGUCUCUUAACCUAGGGGCUGGCAAACUAUGGCCCGUGAGUCAUGUCUGGCCUACUGCCUGCUUUUGUAAAUAAAAUUUUAUUGGAACACA